rnacentral:rRNA from 1 species
CACUCCUGCGGGAGGCAGCAGUGGGGAAUUUUGGACAAUGGGCGAAAGCCUGAUCCAGCAAUGCCGCGUGAGUGAAGAAGGCCUUCGGGUUGUAAAGCUCUUUUGUCAGGGAAGAAACGGUGAGAGCUAAUAUCUCUUGCUAAUGACGGUACCUGAAGAAUAAGCACCGGCUAACUACGUGCCAGCAGCCGCGGUAAUACGUAGGGUGCAAGCGUUAAUCGGAAUUACUGGGCGUAAAGCGUGCGCAGGCGGUUUUGUAAGUCUGAUGUGAAAUCCCCGGGCUCAACCUGGGAAUUGCAUUGGAGACUGCAAGGCUAGAAUCUGGCAGAGGGGGGUAGAAUUCCACGUGUAGCAGUGAAAUGCGUAGAUAUGUGGAGGAACACCGAUGGCGAAGGCAGCCCCCUGGGUCAAGAUUGACGCUCAUGCACGAAAGCGUGGGGAGCAAACAGGAUUAGAAACCCAAGUAGUCCCAUGA